rnacentral:rRNA from 1 species
CUCCUACGGGAGGCAGCAGCAGGGAAUAUUGCACAAUGGGCGAAAGCCUGAUGCAGCGACGCCGCGUGGGGGAUGAAUGCCUUCGGGUUGUAAACCCCUUUCAGGAGGGACGAAGCGAAAGUGACGGUACCUCCAGAAGAAGCCCCGGCCAACUACGUGCCAGCAGCCGCGGUAAUACGUAGGGGGCGAGCGUUGUCCGGAUUUAUUGGGCGUAAAGAGCUCGUAGGCGGCUCAGCAAGUCGGCCGUGAAAGCCCAGGGCUCAACCCUGGGACGCCGGUCGAAACUGCUGUGGCUAGGGUCCGGUAGAGGAGAGUGGAAUUCCCGGUGUAGCGGUGAAAUGCGCAGAUAUCGGGAGGAACACCAGUAGCGAAGGCGGCUCUCUGGGCCGGUACCGACGCUGAGGAGCGAAAGCUAGGGGAGCAAACAGGAUUAGAUACCCUGGUAGUCCUAGCCGUAAACGUUGGACACUAGGUGUGGCGGAUUCAUUGACGUCUGCCGUGCCGAAGCUAACGCAUUAAGUGUCCCGCCUGGGGAGUACGGUCGCAAGGCUAAAACUCAAAGGAAUUGACGG